rnacentral:rRNA from 1 species
GGCCUUCGGGUUGUACAGCCCUUUUGACCGGGACGCGGAAGGCCGGUACCGGUGGAAUAAGCCUCGGCUAACUACGCGCCAGCAGCCGCGGUAACACGUAGGAGGCGAGCGUUAUCCGGAUUUACUGGUUGUAAAGCGCGUGCAGGCGAUUAGCUAAGUUGGGUGUGAAAGCUCCUGGCUCAACUGGGAGAGGUCGCUCAAGACUGGCUGACGCGAGGAGGGGAGGGGAAGGUGGAAGUCCGGGUGUAGUGGUGAAAUGCGGAGAUAGACGGAGGAACACCAGUGGCGAAGGCGGCCUUCUGGACCAGCACUGACGCUCAGACG